UCAUAACAAUGAUGAUGAUGAUGAUGAUGAUGAUGAUGUCCUUAAUUUUUCUUGUGUAGUAUACAUUCAUCGUGGUGGUUAUCAUUAUCAUCAUCAUCAUCAUCAUCAUCAUCAUCA
rnacentral:miRNA from 1 species